CUAUGAAUGAAACACUGCAGUGAGUUUUCAUCGAGCUUCUGUAUAGCAGCCCUUUUCUCUCUCCUACUCUAACAAGUGUAAUCCUGCAACACAAAAUUGUGCAAUUCAUGAGUAAUUCAUUGCUCAGUUUCUUAUUCAUCUACGUUUUGCGUAAGGGUCUCGUGGAAAUUAGCCAUCUUCUGAGUCCUUUCACAGCAGAGAGGAUUGAAAAAGCAUACUAAUAUAAUGUACAUGUGUGAGAAAGAGCUAAUACUGAAGUGAACAAGUGCAACAGAACUAAGGUUUAUAUUGAAAAGAUAUGGAUUUGAAGAGUGGUUUCAGUGGAUGAGGAAUUGGUUGGAUUAUUUCAGAGGAUUAUGGUCAAAGGCGGAGGCUGGUGGAAAUACAUUUCAAAAAGUUCUGACUUUUUAGUAAAAUUUAUCAAGGAAACCAACCAGCAAAGUCAGGUGCUGAAGGAUUUGGGGAGAAAUAGGAGUGCUGUGCUUUGCCAGAAAGGUCGCAUGCGAUCAGCCUCAGCAUACACUAGAGAGAAGCUCCCCAUGAAGAUCUGCAGAACUUGAAGAGUGAGAACAGGACCCUGCAGUUAUAGAGAGAAGGGCCUCACAGCAAGAAAAGGGAAAGUAGCUUCACAAAGUAGAAAUAAGGGGCAAAUAGAGAUAGUUUAGGUAGAGAGUGUUAGAAAACAAGGGAUUCCAAGCACUUUCACAGACACUAGGUCUGGAAUAACAAGAAGGAUGAAGGCCAUAAAGAUAAGUACUGGAGAGCAGCUCAAAAACAUUUGGCAGGGAGGUGAUUAGAUGUCUACAGGGCAAGCUGAAACCAGUUUGGGGGAUGCCCCCCCCUUCAGGGUCAGAAGUUUGCAGUGAGGAAGACUAUGAGCCUUCGCGAGGAAGACUAUGAGCCUUCAUCAUCACGACCUACUACACAUGCGCAAGGGGGGGAGGGACUGCAUGCUACUGGGCUCUCAGGAAUGUAAUGAACAUGUAUCCAAAUUCCUGUCAACUAUUGAUUAUGUAUUAGUUCGACCUAUAUCUAUAGCACGAUUUCUCCUGACGGUGUGCAAGUUAGGUGGAACGAUCCCCUUUGCACCAGGGUGUACACGCGUCACCAAUAAACACAUACCUGCUCUAUAUCCUCACUGGCUAUAGGGUCUGAUUUCUGCACAUCAAACUACCUCUUUCUUUUUCCACACACAAACCUGCGAAACUUACCUCUGAAGUGCCAAAACUUGUUUCCACUUCCAAACAGACCUCCCUCUGACAUGGGCAGACUGAUACCACCUCUUUUCAUUUUGUCCCUGCAUAUAUCCCUACCCAUUUCAUGUCUCUCUUUACUACUCUGUGCACCAGUGGUGUGAGACAGAGAUUUUUUUGUUCUGUAACUAUAUACUUUGCAGCAUCAAGGAAUCUCGGUCUUGAGUAUGCCUCCAAAGUGUUGCUGUGGUAGAAAUAAUUAUGCAGUGGAAAAAUAGAACUGGAUGAUCUUAUAGCUUUUUCUUUGCCUCAGGCCACGAAGACAAACUGGAAAGAACUAUUCAUUAUUUCUGCUGAGUUAUAUAAUUGCCAAGUCCUUUGCAGAAGGUUGAUAAUCAUGAUAAUUCUCAUUUUAUAUUGGGCAUAGACCAGAAUGUUGUGCUGUGGUUUGGCUGGUUUUGUUCCUUCUAUAUUAAUAAUAAACUAUGUGUGACGAAAACAAAACACCUUCUACUGCACUUUUGAAGAUAGCAAUCUAGUCAUUUCAUUGCUACCUUAAGUUUUACUCUUGACAUACAGAAAAUAU
ensembl:lncRNA